rnacentral:rRNA from 1 species
GACAGAGGUGCCGAGCGUUAGGCGGAAUCACUGGGCUUAAAGCGUGUGUAGGCGGGUCCGUAAGUACCUUGUGAAAUCCCACGGCUCAACCGUGGAACUGCUGGGUAUACUGCGGGUCUUGAGCCACUUAGGGGCAAGCGGAACAAACGGUGGAGCGGUGAAAUGCGUAGAUAUCGGAAGGAACGCCGGUGGCGAAAGCGACGUGCUGGACCUCUUCUGACGCUGAGGCGCGAAAGCCAGGGGAGCAAACGGG